AGCAGCGUGGCUCAGUGGAAAGAGCCUGGGCUUCGGAGUCAGGGGUGAUGGGUUCGACUCCCGGCUCUGCCA
rnacentral:tRNA from 1 species